rnacentral:rRNA from 3 species
AGACCCGAAACCCGGUGAUCUAGCCAUGGGCAGGUUGAAGGUUGGGUAACACUAACUGGAGGACCGAACCGACUAAUGUUGAAAAAUUAGCGGAUGACCUGUGGCUGGGGGUGAAAGGCCAAUCAAACCGGGAGAUAGCUGGUUCUCCCCGAAAGCUAUUUAGGUAGCGCCUCGUGAAUUCAUCUCCGGGGGUAGAGCACUGUUUCGGCUAGGGGGCCAUCCCGGCUUACCAACCCGAUGCAAACUGCGAAUACCGGAGAAUGUUAUCACGGGAGACACACGGCGGGUGCUAACGUCCGUCGUGAAGAGGGAAACAACCCAGACCGCCAGCUAAGGUCCCAAAGUCAUGGUUAAGUGGGAAACGAUGUGGGAAGGCCCAGACAGCCAGGAUGUUGGCUUAGAAGCAGCCAUCAUUUAAAGAAAGCGUAAUAGCUCACUGGUCGAGUCGGCCUGCGCGGAAGAUGUAACGGGGCUAAACCAUGCACCGAAGCUGCGGCAGCGACACUGUGUGUUGUUGGGUAGGGGAGCGUUCUGUAAGCCUGUGAAGGUGGCCUGUGAGGGUUGCUGGAGGUAUCAGAAGUGCGAAUGCUGACAUAAGUAACGAUAAAGCGGGUGAAAAGCCCGCUCGCCGGAAGACCAAGGGUUCCUGUCCAACGUUAAUCGGGGCAGGGUGAGUCGACCCCUAAGGCGAGGCCGAAAGGCGUAGUCGAUGGGAAACGGGUUAAUAUUCCCGUACUUGGUGUUACUGCGAAGGGGGGACGGAGAAGGCUAUGUUGGCCGGGCGACGGUUGUCCCGGUUUAAGCGUGUAGGUGUGUGUUCCAGGUAAAUCCGGUUCACUUUAACACUGAGGCGUGA